AUCAUCAUCGAUUCUGAAGCGGUGACAAAUUCAUAAAAAAUGUCAAUAUUUUAAAGAUGGUUUUCGCGAAACCGUCUUUGGAUGUGGACAAUUUUAAUUUCAUUACAUCCCCCCUUGCGCCCGUUCCUCUCCUCUGCCCCCAUUCCCUUCUCCUCCCAUCCAAAACCCUAACCCCGAAAAAAGCCAAACCCAAACCCCCCAUUGCCCUCCAUAAUUGGAACCGCAAGCCCGAUCGAGCUCUUCGGCUCCAUCCUAUGCGUUACAGUCAGUACCUUUGACAAAGGCAGUGUGGACAAGAUCAUCAACAUCACUAACAUCGACCUCUUCUUCUUCAUCAUGGGCUUCUCUGUGGUCGCCAUCGACGUUGAUGUCGGCCUCCGCAACCUCGGCCUCGAGAACUGUGUCAACCACACCUUCAUCGAGGUCCUCAAUGACGAUAAAGAGAGACAAAGAAACAAAGGCAAAAAAGAGAGAGAAAGAGUGGUUGAAAGACGCGGAAGUUACGCUCUACAGGGAGUUGUGGCAUGUGUGUGCAGGUCCUCUGGUGACAUUGCCUAGAGAAGGAAAGCACAUAUUCUACUUUUCUCGAGGACAUGUUGGUUUACGAUCUGUCACCCAAGAUCCUCUGUCGGGUUAUCAACUUCAUGCUCAAGAGAGUAACCAACGCUUAAUUUUCUUUGCUUUUCAAGAACUAAGUUUGAAAAUGAAUUUGUUUUUGAUGUUAUGGUGCUUCAUUUUGGGUAAAAAAAAUUUAGGUGGAGCCAGACACAAAUGAGGUGUUUGCUUAAGUGACUUUACUUCCUGAACCAAAUGUAAGUUAAUUAAUCUAAGCUCCUGUGAGUUUCAAUUCUUUAA